GCUACAUCAAAGGAGGGAAGCAGUUCUGCAGGAAGACAAAGCUCCAGUGUGCCGGACGACCUGGGAAAUUUUGCUCCCGAGAUUUGUGUGCAAGGUAGCAGCCACUCGCAAGCGCCCUCAGAUUCCUCCGAGAACUGCAGCAUUUUAGACAGAGUCGGAUUGAGAGGCCUUGCAGCACUUCCGACGCUGGAACACUGUCAUCAGCAAGGAGCAGAGUGCCAGCGGGGAGUAGGAGGUCAAAACAGCUUUCUUUUGUAGGCGUCUGAGGUUUCGCUUGCAUACUUUAUACAUAUCAGACCACAGCAGUUUGUUUUGAAGUUCAUUAUGGCAGGCCUUUUGUAUGUGCAUUUGUUUUCUCUUUCAUACUUGCAUUUCACUGCCUGUGAACAUCGUUUCU